rfam:Ricinus communis cultivar Hale ctg_1100012361969, whole genome shotgun sequence.
AAACCAUGAUGAGGACAUCUUCUUUGUAGCUUCUUAAACCUUUCCCAUGCUUCAUAAAGUGACUUGUCAUCUUUUUGGUAAAAACUAGCAAUCUGUUGUGUUAUUUC